rnacentral:rRNA from 1 species
UACGGAGGGUGCGAGCGUUAAUCGGAAUUACUGGGCGUAAAGCGUGCGCAGGCGGCGCGUUAAGUCAGGUGUGAAAGCCCCGAGCUUAACUUGGGAAUUGCGCUUGUGACUGGCGUGCUGGAGUGUGGCAGAGGGAGGUGGAAUUCCACGUGUAGCAGUGAAAUGCGUAGAGAUGUGGAGGAACACCGAUGGCGAAGGCAGCCUCCUGGGCCAGCACUGACGCUCAUGCACGAAAGCGUGGGGAGCAAACAGG